rnacentral:rRNA from 1 species
CCUACGGGGGGCUGCAGUGGGGAAUAUUGGACAAUGGGGGGAACCCUGUUCCAGCCAUACCGCGUGUGUGAAGAAGGCCCUCGGGUUGUAAAGCACUUUCAGUGAGGAAGAACGCCUGGUGGUUAAUACCCAUCAGGAAAGACAUCACUCACAGAAGAAGCACCGGCUAACUCCGUGCCAGCAGCCGCGGUAAUACGGAGGGUGCGAGCGUUAAUCGGAAUUACUGGGCGUAAAGCGCGCGUAGGUGGCUUGAUAAGCCGGUUGUGAAAGCCCCGGGCUCAACCUGGGAACGGCAUCCGGAACUGGCAAGCUAGAGUGCAGGAGAGGAAGGUAGAAUUCCCGGUGUAGAGGUGAAAUGCGUAGAGAUCGGGAGGAAUACCAGUGGCGAAGGCGGCCUUCUGGACUGACACUGACACUGAGGUGCGAAAGCGUGGGUAGCAAACAGGAUUAGAUACCCCUGUAGUC